rfam:Salmo salar isolate Sally breed double haploid chromosome ssa17, whole genome shotgun sequence.
CCCAAGGUUAUUUUAAGAACCACCUAAUAAAUGUAAAUAAGGUUGU